CCUACGGGUGGCUGCAGUGAGGAAUAUUGGUCAAUGGGCGCGAGCCUGAACCAGCCAAGUCGCGUGAGGGAGGACGGCCCUACGGGUUGUAAACCUCUUUUGCCGGGGAGCAACGGUCGCCACGUGUGGCGUCACUGAGAGUACCCGGAGAAAAAGCAUCGGCUAACUCCGUGCCAGCAGCCGCGGUAUUACGGAGGAUGCGAGCGUUAUCCGGAUUUAUUGGGUUUAAAGGGUGCGUAGGCGGAUCGUUAAGUCAGUGGUCAAUUUGAGGGGCUAAACCCCUUACCGCCAUUGAUACUGGCGUUCUUGAGUGGAAGAGAGGUAGGCGGAAUGCGUGGUGUAGCGGUGAAAUGCAUAGAGAUCACGCAGAACCCCGAUUGCGAAGGCAGCAUGCCGGCUUCCGACUGACGCUGAAGCACGAAAGCGUGGGGAUCGAACAGGAUUAGAUACCCCUGUAGUC
rnacentral:rRNA from 1 species